CAUACCCCACUUCUAAUGCUACGCUCCAUUCUUCACAGAAAUACGUGUAAGACAAAGAGCAAUAUGAAGCCCCACUCCAGGGUCUGUGAUGCCUCAAUUGAAGGAGGCUUUGCUGACACCAAUAUAUUAAAUUGUUUCUUUAAACAGCACCUCAGAGAUGUGGACACCUGGGGCACAGAAAAAUUCUGAUGUAGGCCUCCGAAGCAAGACUGGAGCGAGCUGUAUGUUGGCCAACCCAGGAGUCUGCGCACAGCCCCAGAGUUCUGAAGACCCGAGUGUGGUGCAAACAGCCCAUCUAGAGGGAAAGAGGAAUGUGCCGUGAACUAGGGGGCAGGCAGUGCAGCGAAAAACGGGAAAAGAGCAGCCCAUUCUGGUGCAGGAGGACCCACCUCUGGGACUGGAGAGGGGCCAGAGAUGGAGGUCAUUAUCAAUGAUGCCUACUUGAUGAAGCCUCAACUGCAGGGUUUGGAAAACUUCGUGGUGAACACAUCAACACGCUGGGCAGGCGGGCACACCCCAAUUCCAUGGGGACAGAAGCUCCUGAGCUUUGGACCCUCCAGACCCCACCUUAAGGAUCUCGUCAUCUGGCUGUUCAUCUGUAUCUUUUGUCAUAC